AUUAGAGUUUGAUCAUGGCUCAGAACGAACGCUGGCGGCAGGCCUAACACAUGCAAGUCGAGCGGGCACCUUCGGGUGUCAGCGGCGGACGGGUGAGUAACGCGUGGGAACGUGCCCUUUGCUACGGAAUAGCCCCGGGAAACUGGGAGUAAUACCGCAUGAGCCCUACGGGGGAAAGAUUUAUCGCCAAAGGAUUGGCCCGCGUCGGAUUAGCUAGUUGGUGGGGUAAUGGCCUACCAAGGCGACGAUCCGUAGCUGGUCUGAGAGGAUGAUCAGCCACACUGGGACUGAGACACGGCCCAGACUCCUACGGGAGGCAGCAGUGGGGAAUAUUGGACAAUGGGCGCAAGCCUGAUCCAGCCAUGCCGCGUGAGUGAUGAAGGCCCUAGGGUUGUAAAGCUCUUUCAGCGAGGAGGAUAAUGACGUUACUCGCAGAAGAAGCCCCGGCUAACUUCGUGCCAGCAGCCGCGGUAAUAAU
rnacentral:rRNA from 1 species